rnacentral:lncRNA from 1 species
GGUGUUUGGAGCUGAAGGGAAAGAUUUGUCAUAAGUUUGUCCCUAAAAUGUGGGCCUUGUUGGUGCUGAUACUUGCCUUUGCUGUUAAGGCAUCUGAUGUUAACAAUGAUACGGCAAUUGAAGAAAAGCAAGUUAUAGCCAGAGCUAAACUGCUGGCUCCCAGUGUGGUUGGAUGAAGUAUAAAGAAAAUGCCCGAGCUGCAUCACUUCCUCCUGGAGCGUUCGGCUUUAUACCAUAACUUGGAGUAUGAUUCAUCGGAGGAAAAGAACCCUCGUCUGAUUUUCUACGACGAAAAAGACGAGGUUGUGAAGACCGUUCCUGUGAAGAAAAUGAAGGCAGAUGACAUCAGCGGCCUGUUGGAGUCGCUGGGCUUCUAUAAGCGGUCCCAGAAAGGGGAAGAAGUGCCGGAAGAGUUCCAGCAUUUCCCGCUCCACGCCCCCAGGGACGAGCUAUAGUGACACCAUGUGGUCAAACUCUGCCACUGCACCUGUUGCUGCUUAAUGAAGAGUGGAGCCCAAAGGCAACUAAACAAAGCCAGGCGCCACUUUGAGGAUCGCAGUCCCUGUGCAGAAUGUAGAAUGUUUGUCUGUAUACUGUGUCAUACGGUUUAGAUUGUUGAAUAAAAUUACCAAAAG